AAAGCUCAAAUUUGAAAUCUAGUACCUUCGGUGCUCGAGUUGUAAUUUGAAGAUAGUUUUCUGGUGCUGGCCCUUGUCUAUGUUCCUUGGAACAGGACGUCAUAGAGGGUGAGAAUCCCGUCUGAUGGGGUGUCCAGUGCUUUGUAGAUUUCUAUCGAAGAGUCGAGUUGUUUGGGAAUGCAGCUCUAAGUGGGUGGUAAAUUCCAUCUAAAGCUAAAUACUGGCGAGAGACCGAUAGCGAACAAGUACAGUGAUGGAAAGAUGAAAAGAACUUUGAAAAGAGAGUGAAAAAGUACGUGAAAUUGUUGAAAGGGAAGGGUAUUGGAUCAGACUUGGUGUUUUGUGAUUAUCUUCCCUUCUUGGGUUGUGCACUCGCAUUUCACUGGGCCAGCAUCGGUUCGGAUGGCAAGAUAAUGGCUUGGGAACGUGGCACUCUUCGGAGUGUGUUAUAUCCCUUGUUGAUGUUGCCUAUCUGGACCGAGGACUGCGGCUUCUGCC
rnacentral:rRNA from 1 species